rnacentral:rRNA from 1 species
UACGAAGGGGGCUAGCGUUGCUCGGAAUCACUGGGCGUAAAGCGCACGUAGGCGGCUUCUUAAGUCGAGGGUGAAAUCCUGGAGCUCAACUCCAGAACUGCCUUCGAUACUGAGGAGCUUGAGUCCGGGAGAGGUGAGUGGAACUGCGAGUGUAGAGGUGAAAUUCGUAGAUAUUCGCAAGAACACCAGUGGCGAAGGCGGCUCACUGGCCCGGUACUGACGCUGAGGUGCGAAAGCGUGGGGAGCAAACAGG